rnacentral:lncRNA from 1 species
GUGACCUUUGCGCGCAGCUCAAUUAUUGCGCGGGCUGGGGGCGGGGCCUGCGGGGAAGGGACAGAGCCAAGCCCAGCCUUGAGCCAUCCUCGCCCCUGUGGCGGAAAUGGGAGGGUGCCUGGAGGAGUGGAGGGAUUGGAUUUACACCCUCUUUUCCCUCCGAAGCCUCCUUGGUGGGGGCGAAGAAAGACCAUCCAACCCUGCCAAAGGCAAAAGGAUUAAGGAUAAAUGAAAGCAAGAUAAUGUAGAAGAACUACUUAGCUGCUGGGUUUUUGGAGAUGAGUGAUUUUUUUUUGUAGGGAGAAAUUAUGAAACACAUUGAAAUGGACAAAAAAUUACUGAAUGUCUUCAAUGAAAAAACAGCCAUAGUUUGGCACACCGUCCCGGGCAUUCUGUUGCUAGAGGGGCUGUCCGCUUUUCUUUGUGGUGCUCUGCACAACUCGGCAGUUGCGGUUUUCCUGCCCUUGGGACGUGCAAUUAUGUUGUCCAGCCCGCUGCCAGAGGACAGCAGGAAGGGAGAUGUGUUGUCCACCCCACUGCCACUGGACCACUUCUAUACAUAGCUGGUUCUUCUGUCCAGCCCGCUGCCACUGGACUCUUUCCCCUCUGUCACCACUGGACUGUAAGCUCCUAAUACAAACCCAUGUCUCAUUUACUGGCUCUCCAGUCUCUUCUUGGCCUCUUGAACCUGGUACCUUCUCUAUUGAGGAAAGCAACUAGAGUAUUUGUGAGCAGUGAUUAAACUAGAGCUUUCAAGAGGAAAAUGAGAGAUUUGGAAGAAAUUGUG